GUGUCAGCCGCCGCGGUAAGACGAACCGUGCGAACGUUGUUCGGAAUCACUGGGCUUAAAGGGCGCGUAGGCGGCAGAUCAAGUCCGGGGUGAAAUCCUCCAGCUCAACUGGAGAAGUGCCUUGGAUACUGAUGUGCUCGAGGGAGGUAGGGGUCCGCGGAACUUCUGGUGGAGCGGUGAAAUGCGUUGAUAUCAGAAGGAACGCCGGUGGCGAAAGCGGCGGACUGGAUCUCUUCUGACGCUGAGGCGCGAAAGCUAGGGGAGCAAACGGGAUUAGAUACCCCGGUAGUCCUAGCCCUAAACGAUGAGUACUAGCUUGUGGACUAGUCAUGGGUUCACAGGCGAAGCAAAAGUUUUAAGUACUCCGCCUGGGGAGUAUGGUCGCAAGGCUGAA
rnacentral:rRNA from 1 species